rnacentral:tRNA from 1 species
GGACAGGUGGCCGAGUGGUUUAAGGCACUGGUCUUGAAAACCAGCGUGCGGGAGACCGUACCGUGGGUUCGAAUCCCACCCUGUCCGCCA